GCGUGAGAGCUAAAGUUUUGUUGUCAACAAACGUGCGUAGUGUCACAUUAGUAAAAAGGCUGUUGAGACGCCUGCUUUUGAAAUUCGAAGAAAGUAAACAUGGCAGAUUCAAGAGGUAUCAAGUUAUUUACUACUCCUCAAGACCAAAGUGCCGCGUAUGUAAAUGCAACAUAUGAAACUUCGGCGGGUAUGGAUCUCGCUCCAGAGGAGACAACAAGUGUUUACGAGAGUUUAAGGAUUUCUGGUCCAACUGACAAUGCCGAUGAUCCCAAUACAAGCAUUACACAGCCACCAAAGACAAAAGUCAAUAGACGAUUACAAAUAGCAUUGGUUUUAGUGGGAAUCAUGUGCGCUGCAUUGGUUGCUAUUGUUGUAUGGUCGCUAGCGUUUACCCAAAAAGAAAAUAGUGACAAACUCAACCAUGUAUUUGAGAGUUUGGUUUCAGCAAACAAUGGGUCAAAUGGUAAUUAAACGAAGGAAGUCAUUUGAUAUAAUA